rnacentral:lncRNA from 1 species
GCAUACUGUCACUGCAGUGCUAUCCUCAUUGCAUGGCCAAAGCUGGCUAAAGGCCAUCCCACAGCCUGUUGGAAGGGGAAGAGAUCAGGAUACGAAACAAGCAAUUUUGUAUAAGAAAUACCCAGGCAAUGGCAUGCCUGAUUUCUGCUCACUUUUCAUCUUAAAAACUUAGUCACAUGAUCCUACUUGGUUGCAAGAGAAGCUGGGAAAUGUCAUCUUUAGCUGGCCUCCUGUAAGCCUUAUAAGAACUGGGUAAAGGAGCAGGAAGAGGAGAAAUACUGGAGAAUGAUGAGUUUUUAUUGCAUAGGUCAAGGUAAUGGUUAAAAGUGACAGAAAAAAAUGAGCAAACAUGUUUCCUUUGGAAGUUCUCUGCGCAAGGAGCAAAGACCUACUGCCUCCUCCUUCAGACAGAAGUGGAAUUAUUAUUACACUGAGUAAUUUCAUUCAGGUGAGCAACAUGUUUAGUUUUAUAAAAAUCUCUUUUGAUAUGUGGAAAAUGAAUGAGAGGAAGAAAGGGAGUUGGCAAAAAGUUAGAAAAGAUUGCAACAGCUGUGGAGAGGAGUCGUGGCUUAGACUUGGGUAGUAUCAAAUGUAGAAUCUGGAUGAAUUUCAGAGAAUUCUUUUAAUGGUAGCGUAGAAAGAACUUGGUUAUUGAUGAGGUGUUAGGGUGAGAGAAUAGAGAAUAGCAUACUCGUGAUUGAUAUUCAGAUGUUUUGGGCAGUGCAUUGAUCUCUAGAAUAUAAAUUCCAAGAAGGCAAGGAUUUUCAUCUGUUUUGUUCACUGAUGUAUCACAAGUUCCUAGAAUAAUACCUAGCAAAUAGUAUGUGAUCUAUAAAUAUUAAUGAAUAACAGUGAAUGAGGAACAGACUGGAGCUAUAGGGGACACAUUGGAUUCAUUUAUCUUGACUUUUGAAAUAAAGUAAGCAUCUAAGCUGAAAUAUAUGGUAAG